rnacentral:rRNA from 1 species
UACAGAGGGUGCUAGCGUUGUUCGGAAUCAUUGGGCGUAAAGGGCGUGUAGGCGGUUUGUUAUGUCGGAUGUGAAAGCCCUUGGCUUAACUGAGGAAGUGCAUCCGAAACUGGCAGGCUAGAGUACUAAAGAGGGUCGCGGAAUUCCCGGUGUAGAGGUGAAAUUCGUAGAUAUCGGGAGGAACACCGGUGGCGAAGGCGGCGACCUGGGUAGAUACUGACGCUGAGGUGCGAAAGCGUGGGGAGCAAACAGG